GACGAACGCUGGCGGCGCGCUUAACACAUGCAAGUCGAACGGAAAGGCCUGCUUUCCCUUGUGGAUUGCGGGUACUCGAGUGGCGAACGGGUGAGUAACACGUGAGUGAUCUGCCCCCAACUUGGGUAUAAGCCUGGGAAACUGGGUCUAAUUCCCGAUAGGACUGCAGGGUGGUGCCUGUGGUGGAAAACGAUUUUCUAGUGGUUGGGGAUGAGCUCGCGGCCUAUCAGCUUGUUGGUGGGGUAAUGGCCUACCAAGGCGGCGACGGGUAGCCGGCCUGAGAGGGUGGACGGACACAUUGGGACUGAGAUACGGCCCAGACUCCUACGGGAGGCAGCAGUGGGGAAUAUUGCACAAUGUGCGGAAGCCUGAUGCAGCGACGCCGCGUGGGGGAUGACGGCCUUCGGGUUGUAAACUCCUUUCGACCGCGAGGAAGCCACCUGGUUGGAAGGGUGGUGACGGUAGUGGUAGAAGAAGCACCGGCUAACUACGUG
rnacentral:rRNA from 1 species